rnacentral:rRNA from 1 species
GACGAACGCUGGCGGCGUGCUUAACACAUGCAAGUCGAACGGAAAGGCCCUGCUUUUGUGGGGUGCUCGAGUGGCGAACGGGUGAGUAACACGUGAGUAACCUGCCCUUGACUUUGGGAUAACUUCAGGAAACUGGGGCUCAUACCGGAUAGGAGCUCCUGCUGCAUGGUGGGGGUUGGAAAGUUUCGGCGGUUGGGGAUGGACUCGCGGCUUAUCAGCUUGUUGGUGGGGUAGGGGCUUACCAAGGCUUUGACGGGUAGCCGGCCUGAGAGGGUGACCGGCGACAAUGGGACUGAGAUACGGCCCAGACUCCUACGGGAGGCAGCAGUGGGGAAUAUUGCACAAUGGGCGGAAGCCUGAUGCAGCAACGCCGCGUGCGGGAUGACGGCCUUCGGGUUGUAAACCGCUUUCGCCUGUGACGAAGCGUGAGUGACGGUAAUGGGUAAAGAAGCACCGGCUAACUACGUG